UUCGGGAGAUAUGUUGGAGCUUCACUGUGCAUAGAUCCAGGGAGUGCUGUCACUGAAUCCAGAAGAAAUUCACCACAGGAUCAUCAGCUGCACAACUGAGAGAGUUACAGAUCAAAUAGGCAGAGUGUGACAUCAAUAAACCUGUUUGAUUUAUUGUGU